rnacentral:misc_RNA from 1 species
GAUGAAGAACGUAGCGAAAUGCGAUAAGUAAUGUGAAUCGCAGAAUUCAGUGAAUCAUCGAAUCUUUGAACGCACAUUGCGCCCGCCAGCACUCUGGCGGGCAUGCCUGUUCGAGCGUCAUUUCAACCAUCAAGCCCCCAGGGGCUUGUGCUGGGGCCCUGCGGCUGCCCGCAGGCCCUGAAAACCAGUGGCGGGCUCGCUAGUCACACCGAGCGCAGUAGCACAUCUCGCUCAGGGCGUGCGGCGGGCUCCUGCCGUGAAACCCCCCACUGUAACCCCAAAGGUUGACCUCGGAUCAGGUAGGAAUACCCGCUGAACUUAAGCAUAUCAAUAAGCGGAGGA